rnacentral:rRNA from 1 species
CCUACGGGAGGCAGCAGUGGGGAAUAUUGCACAAUGGGGGAAACCCUGAUGCAGCGACGCCGCGUGAGUGAAGAAGUAUUUCGGUAUGUAAAGCUCUAUCAGCAGGGAAGAAAAUGACGGUACCUGAUUAAGAAGCCCCGGCUAACUACGUGCCAGCAGCCGCGGUAAUACGUAGGGGGCAAGCGUUAUCCGGAUUUACUGGGUGUAAAGGGAGCGUAGACGGCAGCACAAGUCUGGAGGGAAAUGCCGGGGCUGAACCCCGGAACUGCUCUGGAAACUGUGAAGCGGGAGUGCAGGAGAGGUAAGCGGAAGUCCUGGGGGAGCGGUGACAUGAGUAGAUAUCAGGAGGAA